AACUUUUGACAAUGGAUCAAGGUCGCUCAUCCGGCGGCCAGGUGGUCCUGAUAACAAAGAGCGGAACCAACCAGCUUCACGGUUCGUUGUAUGAGUACAACCGCAACACGGCCACCUCCGCGAACACAUGGUUCAACAAUCAAGCAGGGGUGCCCGUGCAACAAUUGGUCCGGAAUCAGUUUGGCGCUUCGAUCGGCGGACCCAUCAAGAAGGAUCGCCUCUUCUACUUCGCGAACUGGGAACAGCGCAAGGAUGCCAGCAGCGUGGCCCAGGUGCAGGCCGUACCUGCGGAGUCUCUCAAACAGGGUCUCCUGAACGUUCAAUUGGCGGAUGGAACCGUUGACACUAUCGGCCCAUCGCAACUUAAGCAUAUCAAUAAGCGGAGGCU
rnacentral:misc_RNA from 1 species